UACGGGGGGAGCAAGCGUUGUUCGGAUUUACUGGGCGUAAAGGGCGCGUAGGCGGCCACCGCAAGUCGGUUGUGAAAUCUCCGGGCUUAACCCGGAAAGGUCAACCGAUACUGCGGGGCUAGAGUGCAGAAGGGGCAACUGGAAUUCUCGGUGUAGCGGUGAAAUGCGUAGAUAUCGAGAGGAACACCUGCGGCGAAGGCGGGUUGCUGGGCUGACACUGACGCUGAGGAGCGAAAGCCAGGGGAGCAAACGGG
rnacentral:rRNA from 1 species